CGGGGUUUGACUAAGCCAUGCGAGUCGAGAGGUUCAAGACCUCGGCGUACUGCUCAGUAACACGUGGACAAUCUGCCCUGAAGUGGAGGAUAAUCCCGGGAAACUGGGGGUAAUACUCCAUAGUUCGUGACAACUGGAAUGUUUUUGCGAACGAAAGAUCCGUCGCUUCAGGAUGAGUCUGCGGCCGAUUAGGUAGUUGUUGGGGUUAACGGUCCCUAACUAAGCCUGUCAUCGGUACGGGUUGUGGGAGCAAGAGCCCGGAGAUGGAUUCUGAGACACGAAUCCAGGCCCUACGGGGCGCAGCAGGCGCGAAAACUUUACCAAUGCGGGCAACCGUGAUAAGGAAACCCCGAGUGCCAGCACAGGCUGGCUGUCCGCCAGUGUAAAUAACUGGUGAAGAAAGGGCCGGGCAAGACCGGUGCCAGCCGCCGCGGUAAUACCGGCGGCUCGAGUGGUGGCCACUAUUACUGGGCUUAAAGGGUCCGUAGCUGGAUAUACAAGUCUCUUGAGAAAUCCGCCGGCUUAACCGGUGGGCGUU
rnacentral:rRNA from 1 species